UAUUAAAAAUUUUAUCCAUUUUUACUAUUAAAAACUGGCAUGUCAAACGAAAUAACUAGGCAAUUACAUCUGGCGUGUGAUGUGUACCUCAUAUUGGCAUACAUGAACCAGCUUUUAACAAUAGAAAAUUGAUGAAAUUUUUAACA
rfam:Gossypium arboreum cultivar AKA8401 contig_12972_1, whole genome shotgun sequence.